AUCAUCGUAAUAUCCACUAUCUCUCUCUCUCUCAUACUUUCCCUUUCUGGGCAUCCUCCAUUUGAUUUCCAAGAUCUUCUAGUUUGCUCAAGUUGGAUUAGUUGCUUGUAUGUACAUGAGAUGGCUUAUGCCGCUCUUGUUUCGCUUGCACAAACCAUAAGCCAAAUCCUAAAUCACGAUCACACUCCCACCACUCUUCCUCUACAUCAAGAAAUCAUCGCAUCCAUCCUCGAUCACAUCGUUGACUUGAAAUCAUUUCUCGAAGACCUACCACAGAUAGUCAACAGUUUGGAAGGCCAAAUCAGGGAUGUAGCAAAUGCAGCAGAAGAUGCUAUCGAAUAUCUUCUGUGUGAAGAAAAUCAAUCAGAUUGUGGAUCGAGCAAUAUUGAUCGGUUGAAAGAAGUAGCAGAGAAGUUUAUGUCAACUGCGGGAGAUGUUGCAGACUACGUCAGGAGUAACUACUCAGUUAAGAAAGGACGACGGCUGAGUGAUUCUUGUGUUGUUAAUUCAUCACGUGCACCCACAAGCGAAAAUCUUGUGGUUGGUUUUUAUCUGACAAAGAUGAGGUUUCGGCUCUUGCUCCGGCCAUCGAAACUACAAGUCAUCACAAUCGUCGGAAAGGCAGGUAGUGGUAAAACUACACUUGCUAAACUUGUUUAUACUGAUGCAUCGGAUUUUCACUAUAGUGAUCGUGUUUCUCGUAUUCAUACAUCAAUUGUGAAGCAUUUUGAUAUUCGGGGUUGGGUGACAGUGCCACAAGAUUAUAGUGUGGGAAGUAUUGCUUCAGAUUUACUAGCUUCCAUAAGAGGAAUUUCAGAUGUACAGAGGAUCACUAACAAGGACGAAAUUGGGAAUCGUCUAACGGAUUUGAGGUAUUUGUUAGCUUCCAUGAAUGGAAUUUCAGCAAAGAGAGACGUAUUUAGCAGGAUCACUAAGGAGGACGAAAUUCGUAAUUAUCUAAUGGGUGGGAGGUAUCUUAUUGUAAUGGACAAUAUUAGGAGUAAGAAAGCCUUGGAUGAUCUAAAGGAGCUAUUUCCUGACAACAAUAAUGGAAGUCGGAUCAUUCUAACAACAAGGAUACAAGACGUGGGUGUAUUUGCUAACACUUCCUUUUAUGAAAUGCCUUCCUUGGGUGAAAAUGAUAGUUGGCGUUUGCUAAGAUACAAAGUGUUUGGAGAUCAACCUUGUCCUUCCAAAAUAGAACCUGCUGGAAGAGUAAUUGCAGCACGAUGUGGAGGAUUGCCUCUUUCCAUUGUCAUGAUGGGAGGUCUUCUAUCCAAGAUCAAGAAAAGUCGUGUUUGGAGGCAAAUUGCAGAAAGUGAUUGUCAAUUGGAAACCAUAAUGUCUUUGAGUUACAUCCAUCUGCCUCUCCAUCUAAAGUCAUGUUUCUUGUAUAUGGGAGGCUUCCCAGAAACAUACAAGAUUCGUGCCUCAGAACUCAUCAAACUUUGGGUAGCUGAAGGCUUUAUAAAAUGCGAAAAUGAAUCUAAGAGCUUAGAAGAUGAAGGGGAAGAUUGUUUGGAGGAUCUAGUCCAGCGAGGUCUAGUUUUGGUGACUGCAAGGGACUUUGAUGGCAAUAUCAAAAGCUGCAGCCUCCAUGAUAUCGUGCGGGACUUUUGCAUAAGACAGGGUCGACAAGAGAAGUUACUUCUUCCUGUGGUGGAUUACUUGCCAAGUCCUAUUUUGAGAAGGCAUUUUCUUCCAUUAGUCAUGAAAAAUCAUAAGCGCGUAAGUGCCACUUGGAAUGAUCUAGAUCUGAAGGGCUCUAUGCAUUGCUCACGUACACAUUCUAUUAUAUGCAUCCCGCAGAAAGGGUAUAAGCCCAGAAGCUCUGUACACCAUUUCAACUUGCUUAGGGUUCUUCAUGUUUUACGCAGAAAUGAUUAUUGGGAUUGGGAGCCAAGUCAAGUGUUUGAUUUGAUCUAUCUAACUUACCUUGCUUCCAACAUUCCCACCAGUAUUGUUCCUCCAACCAUAUCAAAGCUUCAAAAUCUUGAGACUUUGAUUAUUUAUAGAUCCGAUGUUUGUUUGCCUGUGGAGAUUUGGAGGCUGAGCCGAUUAAGGCAUCUUAUCGCCUUCUCAUUUCAACCUUUACCCUAUCCUGAAGGAGUAGCUUUUCCCUUAGAAAACUUGCAAACUCUUUCAAUGGCACAGGAUUUUAAAUGUACUGAAAUGAUUCCAAACAUUAGAAAGUUGGGAAUACGCUACUCUACAAUGUUCAAUGAAGGCUAUCAUGAUGACUAUCUUAGACUUCUGUUUCGACUUGAGAAAUUGAAACUGGAGACGUACGGGGCACCUUGGACGAGGCGGAGUCUUGUUUUUCCUCAAUGGCUGAUAAAGUUAACAUUGAGUGGUUUCCGGCUUCCUUGGGUGUGUAUGAGGAUGUGCGGUUCAUUGCCUAAUCUUCAAGUGUUAAAACUAAGGAAGUAUGCUUGUGCUGGUAAACACUGGGAUACUUCUGAAGGAGAAUUUGUUAAUCUCAGACUUCUGCUUAUCGAUGAAUCAAAUCUGAAGCAUUGGACAACUGAAGGUAGCCACUUCCCACAGCUCAAGUGCCUAAUGCUUUACCGUUGUCCAGCUUUGUCAGAGAUUCCAGUUGGUAUUGGAGACAUUCGAACUCUUCGACUGAUUGAGGUCGAUAAUCAAAGCCAAUCUCUUUUCAACUCGGCAAUAAAGAUUCAGACCUUAAAAGAGAUUCAUAGAAGAAAGCAUGCAAGUGUCGAAGUUCGUGUGAAGCAUUUCUGAUAUCCUGUUUCAAACUUCACUCUUUGCUUCGUAUCAGGUGGUAGCAUGUCAGUUUUGUUGGUCGGCUCCCGUCUUCUUUUUUCUUUUCAGAUGCAGAGUUUUGACGAGCUAAACCCUUUCCGUUCCACGUCGACUUGAUUGUUCAACACAAAGAGGAAGAGGCUGCAAGGAAUGGAAUGAUCAUCCUGAUUUACAGAGUCAGCAAAAGAAAGUAAGAGUGACGAGGUUGGACAAAUGAACGCCUUCAAUUUUGUAGGUGCAAUGUUUUAGAAAUCACAAAUGAAGAUAAAUUGCAGUACUUGAGAAGCCGUAUGCAAUGGGCUCGAUGACUAACACUUUUUUUUUUUUUUUGUGAUGAUUGACUAUAUAGAUUACAGGCCGAGGGUUGAAUGAAGUAUCUUGAAAUUUGUAUAUCAGUCAUCUAAGUUGGAUUUUAUAGCUUUCUCAUGCAUGUAUCUGAAUUUGAACAAUUUCCUUCCUUUUUUGUUAUACACUAUUCAUUCCGUCCCGCUUCA